rnacentral:sRNA from 1 species
GAAGAAGCUAUAAGUAA